GAUGAACGCUGGCGGCGUGCCUAAUACAUGCAAGUAGAACGCUGAAGGAAGGAGCUUGCUCUUUCCAGAUGAGUUGCGAACGGGUGAGUAACGCGUAGGUAACCUGCCUACUAGCGGGGGAUAACUAUUGGAAACGAUAGCUAAUACCGCAUAACAGUGUUUAACACAUGUUAGAUGCUUGAAAGAUGCAAUUGCAUCACUAGUAGAUGGACCUGCGUUGUAUUAGCUAGUUGGUGGGGUAACGGCCCACCAAGGCGACGAUGCAUAGCCGACCUGAGAGGGUGAUCGGCCACACUGGGACUGAGACACGGCCCAGACUCCUACGGGAGGCAGCAGUAGGGAAUCUUCGGCAAUGGGGGCAACCCUGACCGAGCAACGCCGCGUGAGUGAAGAAGGUUUUCGGAUCGUAAAGCUCUGUUGUAAGAGAAGAACGUGUGUGAGAGUGGAAAGUUCACACAGUGACGGUAACUUACCAGAAAGGGACGGCUAACUACGUGCCAGCCGCCGCAGUAA
rnacentral:rRNA from 1 species